UACGGGGGAGCAAGCGUUGUUCGGAUUUACUGGGCGUAAAGGGCGCGUAGGCGGCGCAACAAGUCACUUGUGAAAUCUCCGGGCUUAACCCGGAGCGGUCAAGUGAUACUGUCGUGCUAGAGUGGCGGAAGGGGCUACUGGAAGUUCUCGGUGUAGCGGUGAAAUGACGUAGAUAUCAGGAAGAACACCGGUGGCGAAAGCGCUCUGCUAAGGCCGCAA
rnacentral:rRNA from 1 species